UACGUAGGUGGCAAGCGUUGUUCGGAAUUAUUGGGCGUAAAGGGCGCGUAGGCGGCUUUCUAAGUCAGGGGUGAAAUCCUGGAGCUCAACUCCAGAACUGCCUUUGAUACUGGAGAGCUUGAGUCCGGGAGAGGUGAGUGGAACUCCGAGUGUAGAGGUGAAAUUCGUAGAUAUUCGGAAGAACACCAGUGGCGAAGGCGGCUCACUGGCCCGGUACUGACGCUGAGGUGCGAAAGCGUGGGGAGCAAACAGG
rnacentral:rRNA from 1 species